CCGUGCCAGCAGCCGUAGAUAAUAGCGGAGGGUGCGAGCUUUAAUCAGAAAUUAACCGGGCCGCAAACGCGCGCGCGGGCGGUCUCAUAAAGACAAGAUAAUGAAAAGCCCCCGCGCUCCACCCGUGGGACACCGCAUGUCGAAGCUGACAAAGUAGAGUUUUAGAAGAGGGGGGGUAGAAUUCCCAGGUGUAGCUGGAUGAAAUGCGUAGAGAUGGGGAGGAAUACGCGGUGGAGAAGGGCGGCCCCCCUGGCACAAAGACUGACGCUCAGGCACGAAAGUGUGGGGAGCAAACAGGAUUAGAUCCCCCUGGUAGUCCACGCCGUAUGACGAUGUCUACUCGGAGUUUGGUGUGUAGAACACCGGGCUCUCAAGCUAACGCAUUAAGUAGACCACCUGGGGAGUACGCCCGCAAGGUUAAAACUCAAAUGAAUUGACGGGGGCCCGCACAAGCGGUGGAGCAUGUGGUUUAUUUCGAUGCAACGCGAAGACCCUUACUUAUUCUUGACAUCCACAGAAUUUUUUAGAGAUGCCUCAGUGCCUUCGGGAACUGUGAGACAGGUGCUGCAUGGCUGUCGUCAGCUCGUGUUGUGAAAUGUUGGGUUAAGUCCCGCAACGAGCGCAACCCCUAUCCUUACUUGCCAGCGGGUCAUGCCGGGAACUUUAGGGAGACUGCCGGUGAUAAACCGGAGGAAGGUGGGGACGACUUCAAGUCAUCAUGGCCCUUACGAGUAGGGCUACACACGUGCUACAAUGGUCAGUACAGAGGGUUGCGAACCCGCGAGGUGGAGCUAAUCCCAUAAAGCUGGUCGUAGUCCGGAUUGGAGUCUCCAACUCGACUCCAGGAAGUCGGAAUCGCUAGUAAUCGUGGAUCAGAAAACCGCGGCGAAUACGUUCCCGGGCCAUGUACACACCGCCCGUCAACCAUGGGAGUGGGAGCACCAGAAAUAGAUAGCUUAACCCCGGGAGAGCGUUAACCCCCCCGGCCCCGCCCCAAAU
rnacentral:rRNA from 1 species